rnacentral:rRNA from 1 species
UACGGAGGGUGCAAGCGUUGCUCGGAAUCACUGGGCGUAAAGCGUCCGCAGGCGGCUUGUUAAGUCGGGUGUGAAAGCCCAGGGCUCAACCCUGGAACUGCACUCGAAACUGGCAAGCUUGAAUACGAGAGAGGGUAGUGGAAUUCCUGGUGUAGAGGUGAAAUUCGUAGAUAUCAGGAGGAACACCAGUGGCGAAAGCGACUACCUGGCUCGAUAUUGACGCUCAUGGACGAAAGCGUGGGGAGCAAACAGG